rnacentral:rRNA from 1 species
GACGGAGGGUGCAAGCGUUGUUCGGAUUGACUGGGCGUAAAGGGCGUGUAGGCGGUCGGUCAAGUCUGGUGUGAAAGCCCGGGGCUCAGCUCCGGAAGUGCAUCGGAAACUAGCUGGCUGGAGCGCGAUAGAGGAGGGCGGAAUUCCUGGUGUAGCGGUGAAAUGCGUAGAUAUCAGGAGGAACACCGGCGGCGAAGGCGGCCCUCUGGAUCGUUGCUGACGCUGAGACGCGAAAGCGUGGGGAGCAAACAGG